rnacentral:misc_RNA from 1 species
GGAGACUUCCCGCAUUCAGUAUUUAGCAGAGAUUGCAAAGUUUCUAGGCAUAACUACUACUGUUGAUCCAGAAGCAAUCCAAGGACGGGGUAGUUACGAAGAUCGUAUGGAAAUGCUACGUCUUAUUGUGGAUCUUGUGGAGGCAAGCAUGUAUGCUGAUAACCCUGAAUGGAGUGUGGAUGAACAGGUGGCAAAAGAUAUUCAAUUGAUUGAUGCCAUAGCUGAAAAGCAGUCUCAAAUUUUUUCAGAAGAAUGCAAACUGUUUCCUGCGGACGUUCAAAUCCAGUCUAUCUAUCCUUUGCCAGACAUAUCUG